AGUCAAUAGAUACCCUGGUAGUCCACGCCCUAAACUAUGUCAACUAGGUGUUGGGUGGGUAAAACCAUUUAGUACCGUAGCUAAACGCGUGAAAGUUGACCGCCUGGGGAGUACGGCCGCAAGGUUAAAACUCAAAGGAAUUGACGGGGACCCGCACAAGCGGUGGAUGAUGUGGAUUAAUUCGAUGCAACGCGAAAAACCUUACCUACCCUUGACAUGCCAGGAACUUGCCAGAGAUGGCUUGGUGCCCGAAAGGGAGCCUGGACACAGGUGCUGCAUGGCUGUCGUCAGCUCGUGUCGUGAGAUGUUGGGUUAAGUCCCGCAACGAGCGCAACCCUUGUCGUUAAUUGCCAUCAUUUGGUUGGGCACUUUAACGAGACUGCCGGUGACAAACCGGAGGAAGGUGGGGAUGACGUCAAGUCCUCAUGGCCCUUAUGGGUAGGGCUUCACACGUCAUACAAUGGUCGGUACAGAGGGUUGCCAAGCCGCGAGGCGGAGCCAAUCCCAGAAAGCCGAUCGUAGUCCGGAUUGCAGGCUGCAACUCGCCU
rnacentral:rRNA from 1 species